rnacentral:rRNA from 1 species
CCUACGGGAGGCAGCAGUGAGGAAUAUUGGUCAAUGGGCUAAGGCCUGAACCAGCCAAGUCGCGUGAGGGAAGACGGCCCUAUGGGUCGUAAACCUCUUUUGUCAGGGAGCAAUGGCGUCCACGUGUGGGCGUAUGGAGAUUACCUGAAGAAAAGGCAUCGGCUAACUCCGUGCCAGCAGCCGCGGUAAUCCGGAGGAUGCGAGCGUUAUCCGGUUUUAUUGGGUUUAAAGGGUGUGUAGGCGGGACCUUAAGUCAGCGGUAAAAUUGCGGUGCUCAACGCCGUAGAGCCGUUGAAACUGGGGUUCUUGAGUGAGCGAGAAGUAUGCGGAAUGCGUGGUGUAGCGGUGAAAUGCAUAGAUAUCACGAAGAACCCCGAUUGCGAAGGCAGCAUACCGGCGCUCAACUGACGCUGAGGCACGAAAGUGCGGGUAUCGAACAGGAUUAGAUACCCCAGUAGUC